rnacentral:rRNA from 1 species
GACGAACGCUAGCGGCGUGCUUAACACAUGCAAGUCGAACGGCAGCACGGGUGCUUGCACCUGGUGGCGAGUGGCGAACGGGUGAGUAAUACAUCGGAACGUACCUUAUCGUGGGGGAUAACGCAGCGAAAGUUGCGCUAAUACCGCAUACGCCCUGAGGGGGAAAGCGGGGGACCGUAAGGCCUCGCGCGAUUAGAGCGGCCGAUGUCUGAUUAGCUUGUUGGUGAGGUAAAAGCUCACCAAGGCGAUGAUCAGUAGCUGGUCUGAGAGGACGAUCAGCCACACUGGGACUGAGACACGGCCCAGACUCCUACGGGAGGCAGCAGUGGGGAAUUUUGGACAAUGGGGGCAACCCUGAUCCAGCAAUGCCGCGUGAGUGAAGAAAGCCUUCGGGUUGUAAAGCUCUUUUGUCAGGGAAGAAACAGCAGCUCUAACACAGUCUGCGAAUGACGGUACCUGAAGAAUAAGCACCGGCUAACUACGUGCCAGCAGCCGCCGUAA